GCUGGGCAUGGUGGCUCAUGCCUGUAAUCCCAGCUACUCGGGAGGCUGAGGCGGGAGAAUUGCUUGAACCCAGGAGGUGGAGGUUGCAGUGAGCUGAGAUCGUGCCACUGUACUCCAGCCUGGGUGACAGAGUGAGACUCCGUUUCAA
rnacentral:SRP_RNA from 2 species